rnacentral:rRNA from 1 species
CAGAGGGUGCAAGCGUUGCUCGGAAUCAUUGGGCGUAAAGGGUAGGUAGGUGGUCUCAUUUGUCUGGGGUGAAAGCCUUGAGCUUAACUCGAGAAGUGCCCCGGAAACGGUGAGACUGGAGUCCUAGAGAGGCUAGCGGAAUUCCCGGUGUAGCGGUGAAAUGCGUAGAGAUCGGGAGGAACACCAGAGGCGAAGGCGGCUAGCUGGAUAGGCACUGACACUCAACUACGAAAGCGUGGGGAGCAAACAGGAUUAGAUACCCUGGUAGUCCACGCCGUAAACGAUGGGUACUAGGUUUGGUGGGUCUUGACCCCCGCCGAACCGGCGCUAACGCACUAAGUACCCCGCCUGGGAAGUACGGUCGCAAGACUA